CCUACGGGGGGCUGCAGUGGGGAAUUUUGGACAAUGGGCGCAAGCCUGAUCCAGCCAUGCCGCGUGUCUGAAGAAGGCCUUCGGGUUGUAAAGGACUUUUGUCAGGGAGGAAAUCCCUAGCGCUAAUAUCGCUGGGGGAUGACAGUACCUGAAGAAUAAGCACCGGCUAACUACGUGCCAGCAGCCGCGGUAAUACGUAGGGUGCAAGCGUGGAUCGGAAUUACUGGGGGUGAAGCGUGCGGUGGCAGGUGAAAGCCCCGGGCUCAACCUGGGAACUGCAUUGGAGACUGCACGGCUAGAGUGCGUCAGAGGGGGGUAGAAUUCCGCGUGUAGCAGUGAAAUGCGUAGAGAUGCGGAGGAAUACCGAUGGCGAAGGCAGCCCCCUGGGAUGACACUGACGCUCAUGCACGAAAGCGUGGGGAGCAAACAGGAUUAGAUACCCUUGUAGUC
rnacentral:rRNA from 1 species